rnacentral:rRNA from 1 species
GAUGAACGCUGACAGAAUGCUUAACACAUGCAAGUCUUUGGCGAAGCUGUGCUUGCACAGCCUAGCCAAGGCGGACGGGUGAGUAACGCGUAAGGAACUUGCCCUGCAGUCAGGGAUAACAGACGGAAACGACUGAUAAGACCUGGUAAAGUCAGGCGGACUCAUGUCCAGCCUGAUGAAAAGAGAUGCUGCAGGAGAGCCUUGCGUCCCAUUAGCUUGUUGGUGGGGUAACGGCCAACCAGGGGGAUGAUAGGUAGCCGGCCGGACAGGGUGGACGGCCACAAGGGGGCUGAGAUACGGCCCUUACUGCUACGGGAGGCAGCAGUGGAGAAUAUUGGACAAUGGGGGCAACGCUGAUCCAGCAAUUCUGUGUGCACGAUGAAGGUUUUCGGAUUGUAAAGUGCUUUCAGCAGGGAAGAAAAAAAUGACGGUACCUGCAGAAGAAGCGACGGCUAAAUACGUG